ACGGUUAUAAAUCAACAUAUUGAUUUAUAAGUAUGGAAAUCCCCUGAGUGAAACAACGAAUUGCUGUGUGUAGUCUUUGCCCAUCUCCCACGAUGGGCUUUUUUUUAA
rnacentral:other from 6 species